rnacentral:rRNA from 1 species
UACCUGCUCUAAUAGUCUAUAAUAAAAUUGUUGUGGUUAAAACGCUCGUAGUCAAUUCAAGAGUCUAGUAUUGGUAGUCGGCUAUGUCUUUCCAGUUUAUGAAUCGUUUUAAUGAAUCGUAGGCUGGCCUCCUAAUGGGAGGAUCAUUUGAUAAAGAUUUUAGUCUCAGCAUGAUCUCUCAUCAUCCUCUUAGAUUCCAAAAUAUAAGGGGCCAUGAUGGGACUCACCAUGUGGCUAUAGUAUUAGAUUCAAUACUUACCUGUGACCAAAUUAAUUCGCUUAAGGAAAGAUUUGUUAACCACUAAUCCAUUCGGUUUAGUGAUUUGUGAUGUAAUAUAAUAGAGCAUAGUACCUCUAUACUAGGAAGUUUAUCUCCCUAGAUUAGAUAAUGGGACCAGCUUCAAGUUCUCAGUAUUUGUUGAUCAGGGGUGAAAUCCGUAUAGUCAACAACGACUACCGGAUGCGAAAGCGGAGGACUAGAACUGGUCCGUUGAUCAGGAGCUAGAGUCAAGGGAGCAAAGAUGAUUAGAUACCGUCGUAGUCUUGACUAUAAACUAUACAAAUAAGAGCUUGUGAGAAGCCCUGUUAUUAGAUUCGUGCAGGAUCCCCGAGAAAUCAUAAAUGUUUGUGUUCCAGGGGAAGUAUAUUCGCAAGAAUGAAACUUAAAGGAAUUGACGGAAAUUCACCACCAGGAGUGGAGUNUGCGGCUUAAUUCGACUCAACGCGUGAAAACUUACCAAAUCCGAAUUACAUAAAGAUUGACAGGUUAAUGACUUUUCUUGAUUUGUAAAAGAGUGGUGCAUGGUCGUUCUCAGUUCGUGGAUUAAUCUGUCUACUUAAUUGUGUUAACGAGCGAGACCUUAAUUAGCUAAUUAGUAACACGCAAUUUUAACUUGCUUGAAAUCGAAAGUGAAAACUGCUAUUAAAGUAGCAGUUUCUUCUUAGCAAAACCUCGUUCGACUUACAACAGAGCCAGGAAGUAAGGCUAUAACAGAUCUGUUAUGCCCUCAGAUGUUUUGGGCAGCACGCGUACUACAAUGAUAGUUUUAGCAAGUUUCAGCGUUGAAGUCAAAUUUAACACUCCUAGUUUUAAAGGAUGCGGAAAACUCCAAACACUUAACAAAUCAGGAAUUAAGGAUUGUAAAUUCCUUAUGAACAAGGAAUUCCUAGUAAUAGUAAAUCAUCAUUUUCCAAUGACUACGUCCCUGAAUUU